rnacentral:rRNA from 1 species
AUUGAACGCUAGCGGGAUGCUUUACACAUGCAAGUCGAACGGCAGCGCGGACUUCGGUCUGGCGGCGAGUGGCGAACGGGUGAGUAAUGUAUCGGAACGUGCCCAGUAGCGGGGGAUAACUACGCGAAAGCGUAGCUAAUACCGCAUACGCCCUACGGGGGAAAGCAGGGGAUCGUAAGACCUUGCACUAUUGGAGCGGCCGAUAUCGGAUUAGCUAGUUGGUGAGGUAACGGCUCACCAAGGCGACGAUCCGUAGCUGGUUUGAGAGGACGACCAGCCACACUGGGACUGAGACACGGCCCAGACUCCUACGGGAGGCAGCAGUGGGGAAUUUUGGACAAUGGGGGCAACCCUGAUCCAGCCAUCCCGCGUGUGCGAUGAAGGCCUUCGGGUUGUAAAGCACUUUUGGCAGGAAAGAAACGUCGCGGGCUAAUACCCCGUGGAACUGACGGGACCUGCAGAAUAAGCACCGGCGAACUACGU